rnacentral:rRNA from 1 species
UACGUAGGGUGCAAGCGUUGUCCGGAAUUAUUGGGCGUAAAGAGCUCGUAGGCGGUUUGUCGCGUCGAAUGUGAAAACCCGGGGCUCAACCCCGGGCCUGCAUUCGAUACGGGCAGACUAGAGUUCGGGAGAGGGAUGCGGAAUUCCAGGUGUAGCGGUGAAAUGCGUAGAUAUCUGGAGGAACACCGGUGGCGAAGGCGGUUCUCUGGGCAUGUCCUGACGCUGAGGAGCGAAAGUGUGGGGAGCGAACAGG